UGGGGAAUAUUGGACAAUGGGGGAAACCCUGAUCCAGCAAUGCCGCGUGAGUGAAGAAGGCCUUCGGGUUGUAAAGCUCUUUUACCUGCGACGAUAAUGACGGUAGCAGGAGAAUAAGCCCCGGCUAACUUCGUGCCAGCAGCCGCGGUAAUACGAAGGGGGCUAGCGUUGUUCGGAAUUACUGGGCGUAAAGGGCGCGUAGGCGGCGCCAUAAGUCAGAUGUGAAAGACCUGGGCUCAACCUGGGAAGUGCAUUUGAGACUGUGGUGCUUGAGGAUGAGAGAGGAAUGUGGAAUGACGAGUGUAGAGGUGAAAUUCGUAGAUAUUCGUUGGAACACCAGUGGCGAAGGCGACAUUCUGGCUCAUAACUGACGCUAAGGCGCGAAAGCGUGGGGAGCAAA
rnacentral:rRNA from 1 species